CUUUGUGACACUUUUUAAAAUCCGCGGAUUUGCGCGCGCAUGAAAAACACGUGUGUUUAUUGCAAAGCAAAACAGAGAUUGGUUACUGUAUGCUCCAUUUUAAUAAAUACUCCUUUGUAUCGAACGUUUGCCAAGAGCAAGUUGUUGUUAAGUGUGUUGUAUUCUGAAGAAAUUAAUUUAAUAUUUCCGAUAGCAUUUAAAUCGCAGAAGAAUAAACAAUUAGAAGCAUGGCUUUUCAAAUGAAAAUUGAGAAAGUUCUGAUUAGCGAUAAUCUGGACAAUUGCUGCCUUGAAAUUUUAACAAAGAAUGGCAUUGAAGUCAAGGCAGAAACGAAGUUGAACAAAGAAGAAUUAUUGGCUGAAAUUCCUGUGAGUAAAAUCGUUUGUGAAGGCCUAGCUGUUUUAAUGUUUUUUGAAACUUUUCCUCGAGAUGGUUUAGUAUUUAUAUAUGAUG